AGCCAACAUGAUUCAAAAUACGUUAAACUUGACCAUGGAUAUUCUUCUACCAGUGAUAAUGUACCUCAAAGUGUAAAUGAGCCUUGGAAAAUCGGGAGGAGACUUGUUGAAUGGGACGUUCUUCUCUCAAAUUUACAAUUUUGUAAAGAAUGUGGACUUGGACCGGUGCCAUUAACAACGUUUACAAUACAAGGAGAACUGCAGAAAGGUUUAAGUGGUUUCCUAUAUGUAAAAUGCACAAAUCAUGACUGUGGUUAUAUCAAUACAGCGGCAUAUGGCAAGACCUACUGUGAACCGUCUUCUCAGGGUCGAGCAGGAAUGCCAUGUUUUGUUGUCAACACGAAGCUUGGCUCUGCAAUGAUUGACAGCCUAGGUGGUCCUAGACGGGUAAACAACAUGUUGGCAACGCUGAACCUGAAAACUAUUUCGGACACAAAUUUGAAAAAAAUGGAGAAACGGGCAGGGGACGUCAUAUAGCAAGUAUCGGCAGAAUCAACACAGGCUGCAGCUGAAGAGGCAUACCGGAAUGAAAUGGAGGCAGUAGCCAAUCAGGAGACAUUGGAGGUGCAAGCUGGUAUGACUGAUUUGAUAGAAGAUCUUGGUGUGUGCCCCUUUCCAAACUCUUUACCAGCACUUAAACAUACGCUGCUGGACAUUCCUGAAGAUGAUGACUGGACUGAUAUUGAGGAGGAUGAGGUUCAUGAUACUACCAACAGAAACAUUCCUGACACAUAUCCUAAUAUAGAUAGCAGCAGAACUCCAACAGACACAAGAUUGCCUCCAUCUCCCCCAUCUCACAAGCACAAGUUGCCGUCUUCAAAGCCAGACAGAAAGGCGAAAGUUCGACUUCUACCCAAGUACCCUUGUCGUACAAGAUGUGGAAUGUCUGUUGCAGUCGACACAGCUUGGCAAAAAAGGGAUUCGACUCUUUGACCUCACACACGUUCUUUAUGUCGACGGACAAGUCAGCUCGUCAAAAAAAAGUGGUGAAAGCAAUUGUCGGCCAUAGAUUGUGUGGCGUAUGCAGCUGGUGGCGGCGAAACAAGCCUGGGCAGAAAGUUCGCCCUCAAAGGUGUGUCAGGAAUCAUACUGGCAGUGCUCGAGCAAUGGAGGCCACUAGUGGUGUGAAAGGGGUGAAGGAAUUGUCAGAACAGGGAACACCAGUGGAGUACCUGGAAGGGGAUGGUGACAACACCCUGAUUUCAAAAUUAAAAUCCGACC